GAUGAAGAACGUAGCGAAAUGCGAUACGUAAUGUGAAUUGCAAAUUCAGUGAAUCAUCGAGUCUUUGAACGCACAUUGCGCCCCCUGGUAUUCCGGGGGGCAUGCCUGUCCGAGCGUCAUUGCUGCCCUCAAGCACGGCUUGUGUGUUGGGCCCCGUCCUCCGAUUCCGGGGGACGGGCCCGAAAGGCAGCGGCGGCACCGCGUCCGGUCCUCGAGCGUAUGGGGCUUUGUCACCCGCUCUGUAGGCCCGGCCGGCGCUUGCCGAUCAACCCAAAUUUUUAUCCAGGUUGACCUCGGAUCAGGUAGGGAUACCCGCUGAACUUAAGCAUAUCAAUAGGCGGAGGA
rnacentral:misc_RNA from 1 species